GAUGAAGAACGCAGCAAAAUGCGAUAAGUAAUGUGAAUUGCAGAAUUCAGUGAAUCAUCGAAUCUUUGAACGCACAUUGCGCCCGCUGGUAUUCCGGCGGGCAUGCCUGUUCGAGCGUCAUUUCAACCCUCAAGCCCCCGGGUUUGGUGUUGGGGAUCGGCUCUGCCCUUCUGGGCGGUGCCGCCCCCGAAAUACAUUGGCGGUCUCGCUGCAGCCUCCAUUGCGUAGUAGCUAACACCUCGCAACUGGAACGCGGCGCGGCCAUGCCGUAAAACCCCAACUUCUGAAUGUUGACCUCGGAUCAGGUAGGAAUACCCGCUGAACUUAAGCAUAUCAAUAAGCGGUGGA
rnacentral:misc_RNA from 1 species